UACGGAGGGUGCAAGCGUUAUCCGGAUUCACUGGGUUUAAAGGGUGCGUAGGCGGGUUGGUAAGUCCGUGGUGAAAUCUCCGAGCUUAACUCGGAAACUGCCAUGGAUACUAUCAGUCUUGAAUAUCUUGGAGGUAAGCGGAAUAUGUCAUGUAGCGGUGAAAUGCUUAGAUAUGACAUAGAACACCAAUUGCGAAGGCAGCUUACUACACGAUAAUUGACGCUGAGGCACGAAAAGCGUGGGGGAUCAAACAGG
rnacentral:rRNA from 1 species